GUGUUCACCUCUUCCCAUCCCGAACAGAGAAGUUAAGCCCGGAACCGCCGAUGAUACUUGGGUCAAACCUGGUAAAGUAGGUAGCCGCC
rnacentral:rRNA from 1 species